rnacentral:rRNA from 1 species
GACGAACGCUGGCGGCGUGCUUAACACAUGCAAGUCGAACGGAAAGGCCCUGCUUUUGUGGGGUGCUCGAGUGGCGAACGGGUGAGUAACACGUGAGUAACCUGCCCUUGACUUUGGGAUAACUUCAGGAAACUGGGGCUAAUACCGGAUAGGAGCUCCUGCUGCAUGGUGGGGGUUGGAAAGUUUCGGCGGUUGGGGAUGGACUCGCGGCUUAUCAGCUUGUUGGUGGGGUAGUGGCUUACCAAGGCUUUGACGGGUAGCCGGCCUGAGAGGGUGACCGGCCACAUUGGGACUGAGAUACGGCCCAGACUCCUACGGGAGGCAGCAGUGGGGAAUAUUGCACAAUGGGCGGAAGCCUGAUGCAGCAACGCCGCGUGCGGGAUGACGGCCUUCGGGUUGUAAACCGCUUUCGCCUGUGACGAAGCGUGAGUGACGGUAAUGGGUAAAGAAGCACCGGCUAACUACGUGCCAGCAGCCGCGGUGAUACGUAGGGUGCGAGCGUUGUCCGGAUUUAUUGGGCGUAAAGGGCUCGUAGGUGGUUGAUCGCGUCGGAAGUGUAAUCUUGGGGCUUAACCCUGAGCGUGCUUUCGAUACGGGUUGACUUGAGGAAGGUAGGGGAGAAUGGAAUUCCUGGUGGAGCGGUGGAAUGCGCAGAUAUCAGGAGGAACACCAGUGGCGAAGGCGGUUCUCUGGGCCUUUCCUGACGCUGAGGAGCGAGAGCGUGGGGAGCGAACAGGCUUAGAUACCCUGGUAGUCCACGCUGUAAACGGUGGGUACUAGGUGUGGGGUCCAUUCCACGGGUUCCGUGCCGUAGCUAACGCUUUAAGUACCCCGCCUGGGGAGUACGGCCGCAAGGCUAAAACUCAAAGGAAUUGACGGGGCCCCGCACAAGCGGCGGAGCAUGCGGAUUAAUUCGAUGCAACGCGUAGAACCUUACCUGGGUUUGACAUGGAUCGGGAGUGCUCAGAGAUGGGUGUGCCUCUUUUGGGGUCGGUUCACAGGUGGUGCAUGGCUGUCGUCAGCUCGUGUCGUGAGAUGUUGGGUUAAGUCCCGCAACGAGCGCAACCCUUGUUCACUGUUGCCAGCACGUUAUGGUGGGGACUCAGUGGAGACCGCCGGGGUCAACUCGGAGGAAGGUGGGGAUGACGUCAAGUCAUCAUGCCCCUUAUGUCCAGGGCUUCACGCAUGCUACAAUGGCUGGUACAGAGAGUGGCGAGCCUGUGAGGGUGAGCGAAUCUCGGAAAGCCGGUCUCAGUUCGGAUUGGGGUCUGCAACUCGACCUCAUGAAGUCGGAGUCGCUAGUAAUCGCAGAUCAGCAACGCUGCGGUGAAUACGUUCCCGGG